GCAAACUUGGUCAUUUAGAGGAAGUAAAAGUCGUAACAAGGUUUCCGUAGGUGAACCUGCGGAAGGAUCAUUACAAGUGAAGCCGGGAAACCGGAUUCUCAAACCACUGUGAACCAAACUCUCCGUUGCUUGGCGGGUGAAACCCUCCUCGGAGGCUGCCUACCCGGCGCACCCGCCAAGUUUUUACAAACUUUUCGUUGAUGAACGUCUGAUUUUAUAUUCUUAAUUGAAAAUACAACUUUCAACAAUGGAUCUCUUGGCUCCGGCAUCGAUGAAGAACGCAGC
rnacentral:misc_RNA from 1 species